rnacentral:tRNA from 1 species
GGGAAUGUGGCUUAGUGGUAGAGUGCUUGCCUUGUAUGCAUGAAGCCCUGGGUUUGAUUCCUCAGCACCA